AGAUUGAACGCUGGCGGCAUGCCUUACACAUGCAAGUCGAACGGCAGCACGGGAGCAAUCCUGGUGGCGAGUGGCGAACGGGUGAGUAAUACAUCGGAACGUGCCCAAUCGUGGGGGAUAACGCAGCGAAAGCUGUGCUAAUACCGCAUAAGAUCUACGGAUGAAAGCAGGGGAUCGCAAGACCUUGCGCGAAUGGAGCGGCCGAUGGCAGAUUAGGUAGUUGGUGAGGUAAAGGCUCACCAAGCCUUCGAUCUGUAGCUGGUCUGAGAGGACGACCAGCCACACUGGGACUGAGACACGGCCCAGACUCCUACGGGAGGCAGCAGUGGGAAUUUUGGACAAGUGGGCGAAAGCCUGAUCCAGCCAUGCCGCGUGCAGGAUGGAACGGCCGUUCGGGUUGUAAACGUGUCGUUUAGUAACGGUAACGAAAAGUCUUACUUUACUAAGUAAGAGGA
rnacentral:rRNA from 1 species